ACUUCAUCCAUCAGAAGCACAUCUGUCCAAAUUACUCGCAACAUGGCAACAAGGUCUGUUGAAGAGACCUGCUUCUUGAUGUGCUGUUUUGUGGCUUCAAAGUGCUUUGUAGCUAACUCUUUUGCAAGUCUAAAGAGCUGUUGUUCGGAAUCAGGGAAAAUAACUCGAUAAGCGCGGACAGCCUCAGCAAAUUCACGAAUAGAAGCCUCAUG
rnacentral:misc_RNA from 1 species